UUUACGCAAGUAAUAAUAGCAGUAGUACUUGAGGACGCGUUGCGUCACGGAGAAACAUUGAUGUACCAUUAUUUGGGCCGGAGGCCUAAUACGUGUAACGGCACCGUUUAAUGGCCGUUUUAAGCCCACUAUGACGGAUUCACAACACAGAGAAAUGGGCUCGCCUAAUAAAUAAGCAUUUCUUCUUCCCCUGUUUCCCUUGUAGGGUUUCAAUGUGUUGAGUUCUUUGUUUGGUUUCUUGUUCCGGUCAAUUUCUUGAUUCCUUGCAGCACAGUCUGGAGUGGGAUUUAAAUCUUAUUGCUACUCGUUGUUGUAAAGAUCUCUAACGCCUCACAGCUUGAAGGUAUUAAGUAUGGAUCUGCGCCAGUCUCAAUAACCAUGAGAUCAUAUGUGUUGUAAAGACUUCGAAUCUGACUCUAGGUAGCUGAGACUUGGGAGGCAUGCAGAAGCUCUUCACAAGCUUUUCAUUCCUGGUAUUGUCUUCGAUUAAUUAGCAAGGAUUUUAACCCUUUAUUUCUCUCUCUAUGUUUAUUGAAGCCAUGCAUGAUAUUAUUGCUGUUUUACCUAUGGUGCACUACUGUUUCCACUUGCUUUAGUGUUGUCUCAUCACCAUUCCUUUGUAUGUAACCUCUCUUUUGUACAUUUAAGAAGACAUCUUAGCACACUGUUUUGCCAUAGAAAAACUUAAAUUUUACUGCAUAUCUUAGAUCAUGCUUCUACCAUUCCAUGGAAAAUAUACAAGCUUUGUUGUUAUAAUUAUUUUUCCUCAUGCUUUGCUAAUCUCAAUGAUAUCUUUAUCAGAUCAUGGAUCAACGAAACAAGGAUCUGAGUGGUAUUGCCUCUCAUGGUUGGUCACUCAUUAACGAAACAUUAAUUGUAGUUGUAUAUUUAUGUACCGAUACUUUUCCGACAAAUUAAGCUAAUAAACAUGCCUAGGUUAGAUGCAAUUCUCAAGUGGAGAACUUGUUAAGUGUGUUGUAUUAGAACCCUGAAGUUUCAAUUACUUUUGGUGGCUGUCACUAGCUGUGAUUCAUCUUAUUACCAGAUGUGUUUUAUUUUGGGAAGGAUCCUAAUAUUCAUAGUGUACCAAUUGUAGGAUAAUGAUCCUAAUAUUAAAGAGGAGCAAUGUUGAGAUCUCUGCUUCUACAAGUUUGACCUAUUAAUGAUACAAAUUCCUUGAUGUUGCUAGAGAGGUUGACUUUAAAGUGUCAUCAUAUUUAAAACCAAUUGGUUAAGAAUAAAGGAUUUAUUUAGUUCAAGUAAUGUUUUCUACGUUUCGGAGGAAUGGUUUCAUGGUUUUAUUGCUAUAUCCACAUGGUUCCAUAACCACUAGACUAAGUGGUUACAUCAAACUUGAACAAAAGUCUGAGGGGAUCCUUCAGGUACAGGACCUUAAUCCAAUGGAAAAUAAUCUGAUUUUUGUAUUAUAUUAUUGGAAACAGAUUGCUCUUUUACUUCUACUGGUGUGUGCAGGUAAAAGGAUGCAUGAUGGCCCAAGUGUUGCUGAAUGCUCGGAAGCUGCAGAACUCAAUGUACAUAACAUAUAGAUCAAGGUGUAUAUAUGUACAAGGAAGGGUUGACUGACUACUCGAAACGGUACAAAAUAAAUGGUAUGUAUUGGUUCAUAAGCUGAUCGUGGACUAAGUAUCGAUCGGUACGAAUGAUGUAUCAGUUGAUACGAUCGAAACUCAUUAUAUUUAUGGAUUGGUAUCGUUUGAAAUUUAGCCA